rnacentral:rRNA from 1 species
UACGAAGGGUGCAAGCGUUACUCGGAAUUACUGGGCGUAAAGCGUGCGUAGGUGGUUUGUUAAGUCUGUUGUGAAAGCCCCGGGCUCAACCUGGGAAUGGCAAUGGAUACUGGCAGGCUAGAGUGCGGUAGAGGGUAGUGGAAUUCCAGGUGUAGCGGUGAAAUGCGUAGAUAUCUGGAGGAACACCGGUGGCGAAGGCGGCAUUCUGGACCAUAACUGACACUGAGAGACGAAAGCCAGGGGAGCAAACGGG